rnacentral:rRNA from 1 species
UACGUAGGGAGCGAGCGUUGUCCGGAUUCAUUGGGCGUAAAGGGCGCGUAGGUGGUGGCUUAAGCGUGCGGUGAAAGCUCGGAGCUCAACUCCGAGUCGGCCGUGCGAACUGGGCUCACUGGAGCAUAGUAGAGGCAGGUGGAAUUCCGGGUGUAGCGGUGGAAUGCGUAGAGAUCCGGAAGAACACCGGUGGUGAAGGCGGCCUGCUGGGCUAUGGCUGACACUGAGGCGCGACAGCGUGGGGAGCAAACAGG